rnacentral:rRNA from 1 species
UGCUUUACACAUGCAAGUCGAACGGCAGCACGAAGAAAGCUUGCUUUCUUUGGUGGCGAGUGGCGAACGGGUGAGUAAUGUAUCGGAACGUACCCAGUAGCGGGGGAUAACUACGCGAGAGCGUAGCUAAUACCGCAUACGCCCUACGGGGGAAAGGGGGGGAUCGCAAGACCUCUCACUAUUGGAGCGGCCGAUAUCGGAUUAGCUAGUUGGUAGGGUAAAGGCCUACCAAGGCGACGAUCCGUAGCUGGUUUGAGAGGACGACCAGCCACACUGGGACUGAGACACGGCCCAGACUCCUACGGGAGGCAGCAGUGGGGAAUUUUGGACAAUGGGGGCAACCCUGAUCCAGCCAUCCCGCGUGUGCGAUGAAGGCCUUCGGGUUGUAAAGCAC